rnacentral:rRNA from 1 species
GAUGAACGCUGGCGGCGUGCUUAACACAUGCAAGUCGAACGAGAAGUGACGACGUAUACCUUCGGGCGGAAGGCUUUAUUUCGAGUGGCGGCCGGGGGAGUAACGCGUGGGUAACCUGCCUCCUACAGGGGGAUAACAGUUGGACACGACUGUUAAUACCGCAUCAGACCACAGCACCGCAUGGUUCGGCGGUAAAAACUCCGGUGGUAUGAGAUGGACCCGCGUUCGAUUAGCCAGUUGGCGGGGGAACUGCCCACCAAAGCGACGAUCGAUAGCCGAGCUGAGAGGAUGCCCGGCCACAUUGGGAAUGAGACACGGCCCACACUCCGACGGGAGGCAGCAGUGGGGAAUAUUGCAGAAUGGGGGAAACCCUGAUGCAGCGACGCCGCGGGAGUGAAGCAUUAUUUCGGUAUGUAAAGCUCUAUCAGAAGGGAAGAAAAUGACGGUACCUGAGGAAGAAGCCCCGGCUAACUACGUG